UUAAUUUUAAAUAAAUAUUGUUUUCAAAUUAUUACAUAAUCUAUUACAUAGAAAGAUGAUAACUACGUCUUUAAAGUUCGGUCAAAUAAACAAUUCUUCUAUUUAAUUAUAACAAUAUUAUAGGAUUUCGUGACCGUCUACACGUAUUCGGUUAUCUCAGUUUUGUGAUCAUCGCUUAAGGUACGGAUAGAAUCCCUUCCUUCAAUACAUGUCAUUUGGCCUUUGGGCAUCUGAUUUCUGAUUUUUAAAUUAUGAAAUAAGUUUAUAUUAUAAAAAUGUUUAUAAAGUUUACGUGUUUAUAAAUGUACAAGUUUAAGAUUAUGUACAUGUAUCAUGUUACCCAAGUCAGUCCCUUUUCUGUGAGGAUGACCACAGACCCAUCAUUGUGGCAUAAAAUGAUGUGGCACCAUCCGUGACGGUGAGUUGAGUUCACGGCGUCUCUUCUGUUUCAGUCUACGGACUUCUGUUAGUCUACGGACUUCUGUUUAGAGGCGUAUGGAUCGAUCCUAGGAAAAAGUAAAUAAAGUCUGAUAUCUGAUGAAUGGUAGGUGUGAUUUGCCCACACUCCAUUCAGGUCUGGAUACAUGGGCUAGCUACCCUGUAUUAACCUCUGUAAUAAAAUGAACCUUCUGGACUUCGGUAUAUUUUGAAUUAUGAAAACUUAGCGUUUUUGCUAAAACAAAGGAUUUUUAAAGAACUUAGCCUUUUUCUAAAAUAAAAUAAGUCUUUUGUUUUCCUCUAUCCGCACACAGUACGUUUUUGUGUUUUCCUUCUUUACGUCAGGUUAUCAAGACAAUCUGGGACGGGAUAUAGAAGAGUGCUCGAGUAUAUGAAAAAGACCGUAGAAAUAAUGUACUGGAUUAGAUAUCCUAUUUCCAUUAAGUUGUAAAGCCUUGUAAUACAUUUAAGUAUUAAUGGAAUUAUGUUUUU
rnacentral:lncRNA from 1 species